rnacentral:lncRNA from 1 species
AUGCUAUGUUUCUGUUUUCUCCUAUAAAUUUGUUUUGUUUUUUAUAGGUCCAGGAUCUCUCCUUUGUAUUGGGAGACAGUGUUUAGAGAUGUUGGAUUUAAUUGUGAUUUAAGGACAAGAUAAAUAUUCUACCUCUGCUUUUAACUUUCUGCUGAGAACAAGCCUUAGGACACCCAUGUUACAGGGACCAAGAAGUUUGCUGAUAAGCUACUGAAGAAGUUCACUGACUUCUGCACCAACUGCAAUAACUGGCUGGUUAUGUUAUGAACAAGUUGUCUGAACAAGAUGCACACCAGUGCCCCAUGAAUCCAGGCCACUUGGCCCAAAAGAAUCCGGGCCACUCACGGGCAGAGGAUUCCUGUCAGGCUCUAAGGAUCAGGUUAUCAGUUUGCCUCUGCUAACCAGAUACAACCUCCUGCAGUGAGAGUGGAAACAGAUAUAUAAGGACUUCUGAAGGCUCGGGACUGCCAGAGGCUGGCCAGGACCUGCUAAGUACUGUACUGGUAAGUACAGUCAGCUAAUGAAGUUCUAAUAUCCCCUAAGGAUCCCAAAAACCACAGAUCUACACACUCGUGGUAUUUGCCUGUAACCUAUGCAUGUUUUCUCAACAUACUUAAAUCAUUAUAUUACUCAUAACAACUAAUAAAAUGAUAAUGUUAUUUAAAUAGUUGUUAUGUAUAUUGGUUAGGGAAUAAUGACAAUAGGAAAAGAAUAUGAAUAGCUGUUCAGUACCAAAAAAAAUUUCCCAAAUACUGUCAAUCUGAGGUUGGUUGGAUCCAAGGAUGUGGACCCCAGUGAUACAGAGGGCCAACUGUACUAUGAUGGAUAGGUACAUAAACCUGCAUCUCAUUUGUAAGAAGAGACCCAUCGAAAUAAUUAAAACAGAAGCUGAGGUUGAAGCUUAGUGGUAGGGUGCUAGUCUACCAUGCAUAAUAUCCUGGGUUCCAUCCCCAGUUCCACCAAAAAAAGACACUUUGGGUAUUAAAUAUGUUAUAUGCCUGAGACACUAAGCAAAUUUCUGAGGCUUUAUUGGAAUGGAUAGAAAAUAGUGGGAGAGAAAGCUAAACAGAAGCCAAUUUACAGGCCUCUCCAUUUACUCACAAAACUUCAAAUACAUGCAAUAACAGUGGUCACUUCAUUUUUUGAUAGUUUUGCUCUGUCUGGGUAAUGUGUCAUACUUUACAUAAUCUUAUCAACGUAGCAGAUGGGAGGCAGAGGCCUAAGGAAGUGGAACCAGGAUGAUACAGCUAACAAACAGCUGGGCUGCAAGUCAGCUUUGUGAGACCAAAGAGCCUAGGGCUUGCUCACCGUGCUGCCCCUUUUACCUCCUACUGAUGUUAAGUCAGUGAACUACCAUCUGCUGCUAUGUCCCAGGGCCUAGGCUCGGGGCCUUUGUUCUCA